rnacentral:rRNA from 1 species
UGAAAUCUGGUACUUUCAGUGCCCGAGUUGUAAUUUGUAGAAUUUGUCUUUGAUUAGGUCCUUGUCUAUGUUCCUUGGAACAGGACGUCAUAGAGGGUGAGAAUCCCGUUUGGCGAGGAUACCUUUUCUCUGUAAGACUUUUUCGAAGAGUCGAGUUGUUUGGGAAUGCAGCUCAAAGUGGGUGGUAAAUUCCAUCUAAAGCUAAAUAUUGGCGAGAGACCGAUAGCGAACAAGUACAGUGAUGGAAAGAUGAAAAGAACUUUGAAAAGAGAGUGAAAAAGUACGUGAAAUUGUUGAAAGGGAAGGGCAUUUGAUCAGACAUGGUGUUUUUUGCAUGCACUCGCCUCUCGUGGGCUUGGGCCUCUCAAAAAUUUCACUGGGCCAACAUCAAUUCUGGCAGCAGGAUAAAUCAUUAAGAAUGUAGCUACUUCGGUAGUGUUAUAGCUUUUUGGAAUACUGUUAGCCGGGAUUGAGGACUGCGCUUCGGCAAGGAUGUUGGCAUAAUGGUUAAAUGCCGCCCGUCUUGAAACACGGACC